UAACAUAACAGAGGAAAUCAUGGC
rnacentral:siRNA from 1 species